GCUACCCCAUUUAAGUAUAGCGAGGUUCCUAUAGGGCUGCCAUCAGCCCUGGAGUAGGAGAGGGAGAUGGUGCCUUCCUCUGCUGCCCAGCCCUUGUAUACUGAAAUACAGAAGAGAAAGAAAAAGAGGUAGUUGUGCUUAGGUGAAAUGGAGAAGGAUGAAGCUUGCUCUUACUCUUGACUGGAUUACAACACUGCUAAGCACUAGACAACACCGUGAUAAUUUCCACUGGUUUCCAUGGAAUAUUGUCAGGUGUUCCCUGGUGAAACAAGGGAUCUAAAACCUGGCACCCGUCACCCAUUCAAGCUUUGGUAGACACAAAGUUUUAGACAACUGCUCGAACUUCAGGGGAUUCACCGAACCUCCCAACCUUUUAAAACGAUGCCUAUUAACAGUGAGAAGAGCACAGUUUGGUGCCUUACUCUCCUCCCUGAAGCAAACUCAAUAGCAGAAGCAUUUAUUACCAAAGCUUCCAGGACAGUGUUGUAACUGGGCUUGCUAUGGCUUGGUGGCCUGGGUGAGGAUCCAUGAGAUCAUACGUACCUUCUAGCACCUAAUGAGAGUCAAGUGGUCUAUGUUGAGCAUCUGGGCUGCCUCUGCAUCCCUGGAGAAAGAGAGACAUCCCUGGGGACCCCAAGGGUCUUCUAUUGAUGGCUGAGAGACCAGAGAAGGAGCAUAGCUCAUUGCCUUAGAUAGGAUCUCUCAUUUUUUACAAGCCACUUGAAGGCUUGUUCUAAAGAGGUCGGCUCUUAAUUGGGAGCCGUGGUUGACAAAUCAUCAUGUGUGGCUGACCCAGCAAAGCUAAUAUCUGUCCAAACCUGUACUUUCAUGAAGGUUUUUCCAUUGCUGUGGGAAGAAGAGUCGCUGGGAAACUGCUUUGCUUUCUCCCAUGUGUAGCUGGAGGUGGAUGAAGGCUGGCAAGUCUUUGCCUCUGUAUCCAGACUGAGAAGCCCAUGAGUGCAGCUGAGCAAGGGAUGAAGGUAGCAUCUGGUCCUCUUCCCCUUGUCCAGGAGAGACCUUCAGCACCAGCCUGUUGUUGGAGUGGCUGGAAAAGUUGCUGUGGGGACCCUUCUACCACUCACCUAUGAAAAUGCAAAAAAGAGAGGUUUUAAGCUGAGUUCCAAACUCCAAAGAAAAAAAUCUUGGGGAAAACCAGACUGUGGGUCACAAAUAUCAUUGACCUCGC